rnacentral:lncRNA from 1 species
CAUCCGGAUAGAUCGAAGAGUCACAAUCACAACACUCAGAACCUACAUGAAUAUGGUUACUGUAUAAUUCAUCCUUUUGACCCCUGUGUUUAGGACGACUCAGGGUUAAACUGUCAACCCUGAUCAGAUCAUCCGAAUCAUGCUCAACUCAAACAGUCCUGUGACUCCUCACAAGGACUACCCUGGCCAAGAUUUUACUAAAUUGAAACACGACUGUACACAGCUCCUAAACUGGAGUGGUCAAUCCCAUCUUGACACACGCACCGACAAGUCAAGUACUUGACUACACCCAGC